rnacentral:misc_RNA from 1 species
AAAGUCGUAACAAGGUUUCCGUAGGUGAACCUGCGGAAGGAUCAUUACUGAGAGUACUGGGCUCUGCCUAGCUACUUUUACCCAUGUUUUUUACGUACCAAAGUUUCCUCGGCGGCUUCGUCCGCCGGUUGGACACAAUCAAAACCCUUGUAGUUGCAGUCAGCGUCUGAUAAACUUAAUAGUUACAACUUUCAACAACGGAUCUCUUGGUUCUG